CUUUCAAAACAACUCAAAUAAUAACCAUUCCUUAAUACAGAUCGAGGGAUUAAAAAAUAUAACAAUACAUUUUUUAACACAACAAUUCAAAACAGGAAGUGACAGGGACAUAACAGACAAGAUGAAGAUUAUUGCAUGAAUAUAAAUAGUUGAUGUAGGUUUUUUAUUCUUUUUACUCUUCAAAAAUAAGAAUUAAGCUAUUUAUAAUAUUAUAAUUAUUUUAUUAAUAAGUUGAAUAAAAAGAGCAUAUCUGAUAAUAUCACCAACAUGGUGGAAUUCAAUUUAUUGUACUUACCAGAAUUAUGCAAUCCAAAACACAUGCAAACAGCAAUCUUCCUAAAUUGUCAUUGAUGCCAGUCAGAAUAACCCAUCUUCUCUAUUUAAUGUGAAAAGAAUUACUUCCAAACAUUUGCUUUACAUCCAAUGAUAUAUAAAAUUCUCAUUUUGUUCAAGAAAGAAGACACAUCUUCCUGUUUAUUCCAAAUUCAAAUGUUGUUGUAUUGCAAUACAUGAGGUUGUUUAACAUGUUAAGGAGUUGUUUUAAAUGUUCCUCUUAUGACUAAUUGCAUGUGCCUUAAUUUUGAAUAUGUGAUAUAUUAAAAAAAGAAAAUCAAUUAUUAAUUUGUUUAAUUAUGAAAUUUUUAAUAAAAGUGAUAGUAAUUGCAGAAAUAUGUAUUUCGAAAUGUAUUCUCCCACAUAUGGCCUCAAUCUCUGUGGAGAUAGUACUUCCUGUGACCUGUCCAGACUGAGGUUAAUUGAAAACAGAUGGCACAUUUCUACAAGACUAACUGCUAUUAAAUCACUGUUGAUCACUAUUAUAUGGCUCAAGUUUCUAAUUGAUGUUAAAGAUUAUGAAUGAUAAUUAUAAAUUUUAUGCAUUCAUCUAAUUAAAUAUAAAUAUACUAGAAAAUGUAUAAAUUUGACCUGUAACAGAUGUUGCUAGUGUUUUUUUUUAUGAAAAAAGUAGAAAUGUUAAAUAAUUGCUGUAUAUUAAACAUAUUAACUUGGAUAUAAUUCAAUCAAAAGUCACCAAAAUUAAAUUUUAACUUUCCAUCAACAGUCUAUGUUAAAUAUUUCAUAAUGCCCUAAAUGGAAUUGAAAAUCUAGGGAAAGUAUCACAUCUUAUAGUUUGAACUAAAAGUAUAUUGCAAAAAAAUAUUUUAUCAUUAUUAUUAAUUACUUGCAAACUUUCAUUUUUAACUGUUUUACAUUUUGAAAGAAUUGUUCCUUUUAAAGAACAGAAAAAGAAUUGUUCCUUUCAAAGAACAGAAUCUAAUGUAGCAAACUUUUUAUUUCUGUAAGGGUAGAUUUGGCUGAUGAAAAUUUUCCAAGUCUAAAUUCCUGCUCAUAAAUGAAUGUAAAAUUUUCUAAGACAAAAAUCCUGCUGAUCAUUCUACAGAAAGGAAUAAAUUUCCUCAAAAGUCCAGCCGUGUUUAUUUCUUGUAAGCAUUACAAAAAGUGCGGUUGGACUUUUUAGAAAAUACCGGCUGGCAAAUAACCCAAGUAUAAGAAAAAGUACGUGUACGGCUCAUGUCAGACUGGACUUUUCAAUGUCAGACUGGAAUACGUCUCAAGUCUAGCUAGAGUCCAGUUGAACUCCAGUUCAUACGGGUUGGGAAUGAGACUAUCAAGAGGGCUAUACGAUUGAAUAGAAAGAGGAAUAAAAAAUCUGAAAGAGCCAAAACAAAGCAGCACAAAAAAAGAAGAAUCAAUUUUAAAAUAAAGAAAGAUCAGGAAAAAGUACCGGUGUUGAUAUAAGAGAAGGAAGAACUUAUGAAAGUGAAAUAGGAAUGAACAAUGAGAAGUUAGAUGAAGAAAUCCCUGCUCCAAUGAAUGCAUCUUCAUGUAUACCGAUAGAUAUUUCUACAGCUCCACUGGUAGUCCUUGAUUUAGAAACUACAAGCCCUCCUAUAUAGAACCUCAGAUGUUAUACAGAUUGCUGCAACUUCAAACAAUAAUGAAUUUAGCAGUUACAUCUUUCCAAACCAACCUAUCUCAAAACAGGCCCUCGAAAUUACAAAAAAAUACCGUUUCUGCAAAUCAGGGGUCUGUUGUUCAACUUGUCGUUAAAGUAAACGAGUCGUUAAAUUUUACUAAUCACUGCGUUAAAUUUAAUCAGUCCAUUAUCAUGUUGUUCAACUUGUCGUUAAAUUUAACGAGUCAUUUAAAAUUGUCAAAGUGUCGUUAUAUUUAAUCGACCUCAUUGAGGUUGAUUAAAUUUUAAUCAGUUGAUUACCCUCAAUCUAAGAUGGCUGUCAAUGUAUUGUUUCUACCACCUGUUGUACGGAGAGAGCGACAUUUUCGUGGUUUUGACCCUCUUGAAAGGGAAUUUUCUGAUGAGGAGCUAAGGCAGAGGUAUAGAUUUGGCAGAGAGACCAUUGAGUACUUGUCUGAUUUAAUGAGAGGGGAUCUGGAGCUUGGGACAAAUAAGGAGACAGCCCUUUCAGUGGAACAACAAGUUAUGAUUGCCUUGAGGUUUUAUGGCAGUGGAUCUCACUUGCAAGUUGUUGGGGACACAAUGGGAUUUGACAAAUCAACUGUGUCUCGGGUGAUCGACCGCGUGACGGAGUUAUUAGUUGCCAGGAAGGACGAGUUCAUGUCGUGGCCAGAUAACCAGAGGAAUAACGUAAUAAGGGCUGGGUUUUAUAAAAAGGCUGGUUUUCCAAACGUGGUUGGAUGCAUUGAUGGGACCCACAUAAGGAUUACUGGGCCUAGCAUUGAUGAACCAGCAUUUGUUAACAGAAAGGGGUUCCACAGCAUCAACGUACAAGCCAUUUGUGACCAUGAAGAUCCGAAUGAAACCAGAUAAAGCUUGCUGUAUCAUCAUUGCUUGUGGUGUUCUGCACAAUAUUGCCAUCAUAAGGAAUGAACCUGACGUUGCAGAAGAACAAUUAAUUGACAAUCAACCUCAGAUGCCAUCCUAUAAUGGUCCACAGGACGGAAAAGGCAUACAGGACCAUUUUGCUACCACUUUUUUUGCCUAACAAAUUGCAUGUUUUUAUUUUUUCAUAUUUUGAUACAUUGUCAUUCAUUAAAAAAAUGAGGAAAUUUGA